rnacentral:misc_RNA from 1 species
GAUGAAGAACGUAGCGAAAUGCGAUAAGUAAUGUGAAUUGCAGAAAUCAGUGAAUCAUCGAAUCUUUGAACGCACAUUGCGCCCGCCAGUAUUCUGGCGGGCAUGCCUGUUCGAGCGUCAUUUCAACCAUCAAGCCCCAGGCUUGUGUUGGGGACCUGCGGCUGCCGCAGGCCCUGAAAACCAGUGGCGGGCUCGCUGUCACACCGGGCGUAGUAGAUUUUAUCUCGCUCAGGGCGUGCUGCGGGUUCCGGCCGUUAAAAAGCCUUUUUUACCCAAGGUUGACCUCGGAUCAGGUAGGAAGACCCGCUGAACUUAAGCAUAUCAAUAAGCGGAGGA